AUGGCAAAUUUACAUUUAAGCAUGAUUCUUUAUAUUUUUGUCUUAUUUCCUUCUCUAAUAGCUUUCUCUCACAAUGCUGAAAGGGAGUUUAUCUCAUUCCCACAUGUAGAAUCUGAUUCUAACUAAGUGAGAAUCAGAAAGUCUGGAACAUAAUGUGAGCACUGUUUGUCUGAACAGAUAGGGGCUACAAGGUCACCCUAAACCUAUCUCUUCUGAUACAUUUAGUUUUCCCAUGCCAGUUGAGAUGCAACUGGGGGGGGUGAAAGUCGUACAGGGAGGAGGAGGUAAAAUGGCUCCAAGAUGUGUCUUGUGUUUUUUCUUGAUUGUCUUCAUGUGUAUCAGAUUGCCUGUGAGAAAUGUAGUCAUAAUAAGCCAAGUGCGUGUGUGCUGUCACUCUGAAGAUGCAUAAAAGCCUGCUG